ensembl:lncRNA
GCUGUCUGGGUUACUCUGAACUUCUGGACACCAUUUUCCUUUGACUCACCUUUUAUUCCAGCGGAAGUCAGGACCAAGUGUGUCUAGCAAACAGGACUAUGCAGAAUUGCUCGUUGGAGCCAGGAGUCUGAUGCCUUUUUUUACCUACUCAUGUGGAGUCCUUUGGAUAGGUUCAGAAGACACCACUGUCAGAAGGCAAUAGCUGUCUCCCUAACUUUGCCUUGAGCUGAUUCCUGCUCAUGAGCAGCAAUUCCAUGAAAAUUCAAGCUCUGCCAUUUGGUCCCAGUUAAAACUAUUCUGAGCCUAUUAGGAAGGCCUAAUCCUAAUCUGACUGCAGCACUGCCUUUCCUCUGCUGCCAGGCUGUAUUCCUUUGGAUGACAUGCUAGCAAUGUUUUGAUUCUGCAUCUUGAAGUGGAUGGAGAUGUGGCCCCAGUGUCUCCAGGAUGCCGUGAGUCAGAUAGCAAUACCAGUUUUCCCUCUUUUAUUUUUAUUUUUAUUUAAACGAGAAUGGUGUUUUGCAUUUUCCUGGUUAAGAGAAGACAGAGACAGGUGAUCAGGCUGGAUAUCAGGAGGAGGUUCUUCACCAAGAGGAUGAUUGGGCACUGGAACAUGUUCCCCAGGGAAGUGGCCAUGGUACCAAGCUUGGUAGAGUUCAAGAGGUGUCUGGACAACACUCUCAGAUGUAUGGUCUGAUUUUGGGUGGUCCUGUGUGGAGCCAGGAGUUGGACUUGGUGAUUCUUAUGGGUCCCUUCCUACUCAGGAUAUUCUGUGAUUCUUUGAUUCUUUAGCUGCUGCCUUCUCUAUCACAGCAUUACGAAGACAAGAUCUACAAAAAAAACUCUCUAUGCUGUCUUUUACUUUUGAGAGUAAAAGCCGUGGUAUUGUGAUGACGGAAACCACAAUGACUUAGAAUUUUAAGAGAUUAUUUCCUUUGCUACUUCCACCCAGAAGAAAAGGAAAACCUCUGGGUUAACCAAGAUUGAGGAUUUGAACUCCUGGCCACAGUUUCCUCAAGUGCUAACAGGCUUGAAACAUUGACAUUCAUGGACUUCGCCAACCAGCAGAAAUGAAAUUCACUCAACCCACUUCAGGAGGAGGAGGAUGGAUCUGUAGCCAAGACCUGGGGUCCAAAAGACCAGCCUCUCUUGGGUUCUCAACUUCCGGAGCGCUGAGCAUGAUGGUGACACCAAUGGACAGAAGAAAGGAAACACCUGCCAGUGGUUAUCACACUGAAGACCCUAAACGAAACCGCUUCAUGUCACCAAUUUCAUUCUUUCAAUGCAUCAUCUUGAGGGAAAAUGUUAUUCCUAUUACAGUUACCAUUACAGUAGAGCAAGAGGGCAGUGCUGAGACCAGGUCCCACUUGUGCUAUGUGCUUUACAAAUAAACACGUGGUGCAUUCAUACUCUAGGCAGCAUGAGAGACAAAGGCAACAUUAUUAGCAUGCCCAUGAGCUGAGGCACGCUGAGAUUAUCCGACUUGCCCAAGGUCACACAGGAAGUAAGUGGCAGAACUGGAAAUUGAACCCAGAUUUCUUGAAUUGCAGGCCAAGUUUUUAACCACAAGGCCAUCUUUCGUCUCUCUUUUUUUCCCUCCAAUCUUCCUAUUUUAGCA